rnacentral:rRNA from 1 species
CCUACGGGUCGCAGCAGUGGGGAAUAUUGCGCAAUGGGCGAAAGCCUGACGCAGCGACGCCGCGUGUGUGAUGAAGGUCUUCGGAUCGUAAACCUCUGUCAGCAGGGAAGAACGGUCACUGUGCUAAUCAUCAGUGAAUUGACGGUACCUGCAAAGGAAGCACCGGCUAACUCCGUGCCAGCAGCCGCGGUAAUACGGAGGGUGCGAGCGUUAAUCGGAAUUACUGGGCGUAAAGCGCUCGUAGGCGGUAUGUCAAGUCAAGGGUGAAAUCCCCGCGCUCAACGUGGGAACUGCCUUUGAUACUGGCAAACUGGAGUGUGUGAGAGGAUAGUGGAAUUCCAGGUGUAGGGGUGAAAUGCGUAGAUAUCUGGAGGAACAUCAGUGGCGAAGGCGACUAUCUGGCACAUAACUGACGCUGAGGAGCGAAAGCGUGGGUAGCAAACAGGAUUAGAUACCCUAGUAGUC